UACGGGGGGAGCAAGCGUUGUUCGGAUUUACUGGGCGUAAAGGGCGCGUAGGCGGCCACCGCAAGUCGACUGUGAAAUCUCCGGGCUUAACCCGGAAAGGUCAGCCGAUACUGCGGGGCUAGAGUGCAGAAGGGGCAACUGGAAUUCUCGGUGUAGCGGUGAAAUGCGUAGAUAUCCGGAGGAACACCUGUGGCGAAAGCGGCGCACUGGACCACAUCUGACGCUGAGGCGCGAAAGCUAGGGGAGCAAACAGG
rnacentral:rRNA from 1 species